rnacentral:tRNA from 1 species
CUGUAGUUGAACGGUAGUGCAGCUAUGUGAGAAUUCUAAGGUCUGUGGUUCAAUUCCCGGU